AUCAAAUUACAUGAAAUGCUAGGAAAUAGGUGUGUUUUGCAGUUAUAUAACACCAGCAAAAAUGAUAGAUCUCCAUCCCUGCCAAAUUGUUCUAACCAACUAAGCUACAAUUCAAAACAAUGCUAUGCAUAACGAGCAUAAUCAAUAUUAUCUCUUGAUGAUGGUGAAAAUGAAAAGAUUCUUUGUCUGUAAGUUGUAACUAUCCCAUGUGCUAGUUUAAAAAACGCACAUUCUUGCCUUAAUUUAAGAGCUCUUAAUCUCAAACAAGAUGUUAUGCACGUAUAAAUAUUCAAUCGACAUGUGAGUAGAAACAUCUUAAAUUUUUGAGAUCAAGUAGGAUGAAAAUCAAGAUUAAUGCAUAAAAUCCUGACAUGAUCUUUUAAUUAAACUUAAUU
rnacentral:misc_RNA from 1 species